UACAGAGGGUGCGAGCGUUAAUCGGAAUUACUGGGUGUAAAGGGCGCGUAGGCGGUGUUAUGUGUGUGAUGUGAAAGCCCCGGGCUUAACCUGGGAAGUGCAUCGCAAACUAUAAUACUGGAGUAGAUGAGAGGGUGGCGGAAUUUCCGGUGUAGCGGUGAAAUGCGUAGAGAUCGGAAGGAACGUCGGUGGCGAAGGCAGCCACCUGGCAUCAUACUGACGCUGAGGCGCGAAAGCGUGGGGAGCGAACAGG
rnacentral:rRNA from 1 species